UACGGGGGGGGCUAGCGUUGUUCGGAAUUACUGGGCGUAAAGGGCGCGUAGGCGGCACUGUUAGUCAGGCGUGAAAUUCCUGGGCUCAACCUGGGGACUGCGCUUGAUACGGCAGAGCUUGAGGAUGGAAGAGGGUCGCGGAAUUCCCAGUGUAGAGGUGAAAUUCGUAGAUAUUGGGAAGAACACCGGUGGCGAAGGCGGCGACCUGGUCCAUUACUGACGCUGAGGCGCGACAGCGUGGGGAGCAAACAGG
rnacentral:rRNA from 1 species